AAGUCGAGCGAAUGGAUUGAGAGCUUGCUCUCAUGAAGUUAGCGGCGGACGGGUGAGUAACACGUGGGUAACCUGCCCAUAAGACUGGGAUAACUCCGGGAAACCGGGGCUAAUACCGGAUAAGAUUUUGAACUGCAUGGUUCGAAAUUGAAAGGCGGCUUCGGCUGUCACUUAUGGAUGGACCCGCGUCGCAUUAGCUAGUUGGUGAGGUAACGGCUCACCAAGGCAACGAUGCGUAGCCGACCUGAGAGGGUGAUCGGCCACACUGGGACUGAGACACGGCCCAGACUCCUACGGGAGGCAGCAGUAGGGAAUCUUCCGCAAUGGACGAAAGUCUGACGGAGCAACGCCGCGUGAGUGAUGAAGGCUUUCGGGUCGUAAAACUCUGUUGUUAGGGAAGAACAAGUGCUAGUUGAAUAAGCUGGCACCUUGACGGUACCUAACCAGAAAGCCACGGCUAACUACGUGCCAGCAGCCGCGGUAAUACGUAGGU
rnacentral:rRNA from 1 species